rnacentral:rRNA from 1 species
UACGGAGGGGACUAGCGUUGUUCGGAAUUACUGGGCGUAAAGCGCACGUAGGCGGAUUUGUUAGUCAGGGGUGAAAUCCCGAGGCUCAACCUCGGAACUGCCUUCGAUACUGUCAGUCUUGAGUACGGGAGAGGAGAGUGGAAUUCCCAGUGUAGAGGUGAAAUUCGUAGAUAUUGGGAAGAACACCGGUGGCGAAGGCGGCUCUCUGGACCGUAACUGACGCUGAGGCGCGAAAGCGUGGGGAGCAAACAGG